CUUCCGACCAUCCUUCCCAUGAUGCUUUGCAGAUAACCGACCCAGUUCCCCCCUCUCCAUUAAAACUUUUCCUCUCUCGGGCCUCUCGCCGGAGUCGACGUCGCAGCUGCUGAUGCUGUUUGGCUGAAAACAACAACCGCCGCCGCCGCCAUCGCUGGCCAGCUGCCUAAUGGCUGCCAUGAAAGGAGACAGAAGAGAAGGGAAACAAAACGAAGCAGGAACACUUGAGAUGGUCCUCUGGGUCUCUCGGGGGCCCCUCAGGGCAGAGCACGGGGCCUGAGAAAGAGGAGGCUGUUUGCAAACACGUGAUGAGAUGAUACACGACCCUGGAACAGCAGGAGGGGAGCUGGAAACUGACUGUUCACUGUAGAAAUCCAACCAGUUAUUCAGGCUCACGCUAGAAAAAUCUGUUACUAAAGUAAAGAAAUCUGCCGGUGGGACUGGAGUAGCAGCUGCUGGAAACUAAUUCACUUUAAUUGAAACACGAUUCUCCAGAGUGCAGAAGUGGUGGUAGGGUGGUGUUUGGGUCAAACAAGCACAGGACUUUCCCCCCGGAGGCCGAGCUUCGAGUCCUGUGUGAACCCAAAAGUAAAGUACGUAAUCGAACUUCCGUAACGUGCAACAACAACGUACGGGAGGUACGACGCAGGCCUACUUCCGUCACAUGAGGUACGUAACGUAACUUUCAAUCUUUUCCUAAACUUAACCAAGCAGUUCUUGAGCCAAAACCUAAUCAAAGUGUGAUCGUUUGACAGCGUUAACCACACCAGUCUAACCGGACGUAGCAUAUUUAUUGUUGCUAACUUGCCCUGCGCAGCGGAGGGCCACUGACCAAGCAGCGGUAUUUGACGAGUCGGGGUGAGAACGUGUUGCGUGUACAGAACCGCGGCCACUUAGCAAAGAGUCUGGACACCUGUAUGGAUCUCUGCUCCUGAUUGGCCGAUCGGAUGCCCGACGGGGCGUCCAGGUGUCGGCGGCGUCCUGCUCCUGUCGGCAGGAUUCAUCCAGAGAGACACAUGCAGGGGGAGGUGAAGUUUUACAGCUUCAUUUGUUGGCGAGGACGAAUCGGCGAGAUCUCCCCGGCGAGAUUAAUGGCAUGGCAAAUCAUGGCUCAUGUUGCCGCGGCGACAGGCGUUCCCCGGGUGUCGUUCCCCGUGGCUGCAGCUCAUUUAAAAGCUGUAUAAUCUUGGCGGUGGCGGUGACGGAGCGGGGGAAAUCGCACCGUUGGACCAGGACGCCUGACAGCUGCAUUAAGGCCUGCCAGGGCCGAUUCAUGCCCACAGGACCCCCCCCCCCCAUCACACCCACUAUCAUCCCCCAGCAUGCCUCAGUAACAGAGGGCUCUUAUGGAGGCCGCUGAUCUCUGUGGAGAUACAAGAGAAGAGGCUGCUGCUUCACCCUGCUCUCCUCCAUCAACCACGAUUCUUUCUUCAACCUUCAUUUCAGCAGAAAAACCUUUAAGAUUAAAAGUCUGUCUUUCCAGAGUGUGCUGACAAUGACACCGAGCUGCAAACAGACUACACUGAACAUUUACCACACGCACGAUAUAUAAAGAGCCUAGGACUAAAUUAAAAGAAAAAAUUGGACAAUGUGGAGUCGUUAUACGGAUGUUGAAAUGAUUUUCUUAUGAAGCUGAAAUAUGAUUUUUAUUUCUGAUGAACUGAAAAUCAUCAAAGUGGUUUAACUACCAAUAUUAAAUUAGGUUGGUUUAUCUACAGACCUUAUUUAUAUAUAUAGGUCCACCACUUUGGUCCAGACUGAUUAAUUAUACUAAUAACAUAGACAAUUAAAUAAAUUAAUACAUUUACAAUAAUGUAAAGUUAUUAAUAAGAAAUUAAAUAAAUAAAUAUCUUUCUGCCGAGUGACAGAGCAACCAGUCAUAACUGUAGAUCCCGACCCCAGAGGGUGAUUGACAAUCAAGUGUCACCCUGAAAUAAAUAUGCAAAUGAAAAAAGAUUUCUCCCAGGAGAAAGAAAUAAUCCUCAGGGAAUUAAUUACUCGAAAUCCAAUUCAUGGAGGGAGCUACAACUGCAUUUUAUUGUGAAAUCCUGUGUUGUAUAAUGACAAUAAAGCUUCA